rnacentral:sRNA from 1 species
AGUGACUUUUCUAUUCAUAUCCAAUUUCAUUUCUCUCCCCUUCUUUAGCUUUUU